rnacentral:rRNA from 1 species
AUUGAACGCUGGCGGCAGGCCUAACACAUGCAAGUCGAGCGGAUGAAGGGAGCUUGCUCCUGGAUUCAGCGGCGGACGAGUGAGUAAUGCCUAGGAAUCUGCCUGGUAGUGGGGGAUAACGUCCGGAAACGGGCGCUAAUACCGCAUACGUCCUGAGGGAGAAAGUGGGGGAUCUUCGGACCUCACGCUAUCAGAUGAGCCUAGGUCGGAUUAGCUAGUUGGUGGGGUAAAGGCCUACCAAGGCGACGAUCCGUAACUGGUCUGAGAGGAUGAUCAGUCACACUGGAACUGAGACACGGUCCAGACUCCUACGGGAGGCGGCAGUGGGGAAUAUUGGACAAUGGGCGAAAGCCUGAUCCAGCCAUGCCGCGUGUGUGAAGAAGGUCUUCGGAUUGUAAAGCACUUUAAGUUGGGAGGAAGGGCAGUAAGUUAAUACCUUGCUGUUUUGACGUUACCAACAGAAUAAGCACCGGCUAACUUCGUG